rnacentral:lncRNA from 1 species
UAAGGAAAAACAUAAGAACAGGAAAAUGGAAGGAAUGAGGAAAAAACAGAGUUAGGAAGAGAAGUUUGAGAGGUCUUGAGGAAAAUAGAGUGAACGGGAAAAGAAAGGAAAGAGAAAAAACAAAGGUUUGAGAAGAGGGGGAUUAGUUUUGAAGAAGAAGAGAAGUUGGGGAGGUUUGGAAGAGGGACAGAUUCGGGAAGGUGAG